rnacentral:rRNA from 1 species
GAUGAACGCUAGCUACAGGCUUAACACAUGCAAGUCGAGGGGAAACGAUAGAGAAAGCUUGCUUUUUCUAGGCGUCGACCGGCGCACGGGUGAGUAACGCGUAUCCAACCUGCCCAUCACUUGGGGAUAACCUUGCGAAAGUAAGACUAAUACCCAAUGACGUCUCUAGAAGACAUCUGAAGGAGAUUAAAGAUUUAUCGGUGAUGGAUGGGGAUGCGUCUGAUUAGCUUGUUGGUGAGGUAACGGCUCACCAAGCCUACGAUGGAUAGGGGUUCUGAGAGGAAGGUCCCCCACAUUGGAACUGAGACACGGUCCAAACUCCUACGGGAGGCAGCAGUGAGGAAUAUUGGUCAAUGGACGAGAGUCUGAACCAGCCAAGUAGCGUGAAGGAUGAAGGUCCUACGGAUUGUAAACUUCUUUAUAAGGGAUAAAACCUCCCACGUGUGGGAGCUUGUAUGUACCUUAUGAAUAAGCAUCGGCUAACUCCGUGCCAGCAGCC